GAUCCUGGCUCAGAAUCAACGCUGGCGGCGUGCCUAACACAUGCAAGUCGAACGCGGUUACCCCGCAAGGGGUAACUGAGUGGCGAACGGGUGAGUAACACGUGGGUGACCUGCCUUCGGGUGGGGGAUAACAUCCCGAAAGGGGUGCUAAUACCGCAUGACAUCCUGCCUUUGAAGAGGUGGAGAUUAAAGCCGGGGAUCGUAAGACCUGGCGCUUGAAGAGGGGCCCGCGUCCGAUUAGCUAGUUGGUGGGGUAAUGGCCUACCAAGGCGACGAUCGGUAGCCGGCCUGAGAGGGCGGACGGCCACACUGGGACUGAGACACGGCCCAGACUCCUACGGGAGGCAGCAG
rnacentral:rRNA from 1 species